rnacentral:rRNA from 1 species
AUUGAACGCUGGCGGCAUGCUUUACACAUGCAAGUCGAACGGUAACAGGUUAAGCUGACGAGUGGCGAACGGGUGAGUAAUGCAUCGGAACGUGCCCGAUCGUGGGGGAUAACGCAGCGAAAGCUGCGCUAAUACCGCAUACGAUCUGAGGAUGAAAGCGGGGGACCGUAGGGCCUCGCGCGAUCGGAGCGGCCGAUGUCAGAUUAGGUAGUUGGUGGGGUAAAGGCUCACCAAGCCAACGAUCUGUAGCUGGUCUGAGAGGACGACCAGCCACACUGGGACUGAGACACGGCCCAGACUCCUACGGGAGGCAGCAGUGGGGAAUUUUGGACAAUGGGCGAAAGCCUGAUCCAGCAAUGCCGCGUGCAGGAAGAAGGCCUUCGGGUUGUAAACUGCUUUUGUACGGAGCGAAAAGGCUCUCUCUAAUACAGGGGGCUCAUGACGGUACCGUAAGGAUAAGCACCGGCUAACUACGUGCCAGCCGCCGCGGUAA